rnacentral:rRNA from 1 species
GAUGAACGCUGGCGGCGUGCUUAACACAUGCAAGUCGAACGAUGACGCCCAGCUUGCUGGGUGUAUUAGUGGCGAACGGGUGAGUAACACGUGAGUAACCUGCCCUUUACUCUUGGAUAAGCCUGGAAAACUGGGUCUAAUACCUGAUAGGAGCGUCCACCGCAUGGUGGGUGUUGGGAAGAUUUAUCGGUUUUGGAUGGACUCGCGGCCUAUCAGCUUUUUGGUGAGGUAAUGGAUCACCACGGCGACGACGGUUAGCCGGCCUGGGAGGGUGACCGGCCACACUGGGAUUGAGAAACGGCCAAGACGCAUACGGGAGGCAGCAGUGGGGAAUAGUGCAAAAUGGGCGAAAGCGUGAUGCAGCGACGCCGCGUGAGGGAUGACGGCUGUCGGGUUGUAAACGCAUUUCAGUAGGGAAGAAGCGAAAGUGACGGUACCUGCAGAAGAAGAACGGCCUAACUACGU